rnacentral:misc_RNA from 1 species
CUCACAUCCGGUCAUUCAAACCGUCUGAUAUCAAUAGCUCAAUAGGCAAACUUAAUUCACAUGUGUCCAUUACCUCGUCCAUUACUGCAUUUUGAAUCACCAAAUUUCUUCUACAGCAUGGCUUACAACUGGUAUUGAAAUUUGAACUAGAAAAAUUGAAGUUCAUGUUGCAAUGAGGGAUGAUAAUUUACUUACCAAAAGUUCUCUUGGAUGAAGGUUUUGCAAUCGGCUACAGCGAUGCAAAGCAAUACAUAACUCAGCAUGAAAAAUUGAAAAUUAGUACAUCAAACCAUGUGCGUUACAUUUUAUUCAAUACAUAUGUCAAUGCAUGGUAGGGGUUGAAAUGGACUUCGUCUACCUAUUUUGAUUUUUAUACUCAAGAUUUGAGCUAUACAUUCAAUCUACCGCAUUGAAAAUAAUAUCAGAAAAAAGAUCAAAUCUGCACAUGUGCUAGCUAACUUGACAUCGUCAUAAGAAAAAGUUUAAAAUGACCGAGGGGCAAUUGCAUUUACUCUUAACAUUAUUAACCAUUUGGUUAAUGCAUGAAGCAGGAAGAAUAAUGAAUAGUCUGAAGUAAUGUAUGAAAGAGUUUAUGAAAAAAUGACAAGUACGUACGUACGUACAAUAGCCCUUAACAUCUCUAUGUAGAAACAGCAUACAUAUUAUGCCAUCAUCAAAUAAUUCGGUGAUUAAAUAAUUAAACAAUUAAUUUCACAGUAGUAGGGAUAAAAAAUUUGAAAAUUUAAGCAAUUUAUUGAAUGAAAAUGUAUUCAUAAAAUUUUGUAACUAUAAUAAAUAUUUCCUUGCCAUGUUACAGGCUUAGAUGGUUUAAAUAGGACAGUACAUAAGUUUAUAUAACAUAAACUACCACUAUCAAUCCUAGAUUUAAUUAGAUUUACAACAUAUUAUUUUUCUUCGUUAAAAUCAUGAGAUAUUCGAUCAAAAUUUUUCACAAUUUGAUAUUGAGUUAACAGUACAAUUGAUGUCAGUCAAUAUUCAAAUUAGAACAACUAUUAAUUAGCUUGAUCGAAUAUGUUGUUUUGAGGCAUAGAUGACAAAAAAAUUUUUCUUCAAUAAAUUAAGUGACUACAAUCUUAGCCAUAUGAUUACAAAGAAAAUAAUCAGUUAAGGCACUUUUUACAUAACUCGCGUAAUAUUUAUAUGGCAACCCUCGCCAAAUACAGCGAUUUCUUGGGCAAAAAUCCUUCAU